UCAAACAGACAAAACCAACUCAGAAAUG
rnacentral:piRNA from 1 species